rnacentral:rRNA from 1 species
UACGUAGGGGGCAAGCGUUGUCCGGAAUUAUUGGGCGUAAAGAGCGUGUAGGCGGCCAGAUAAGUCCGCUGUGAAAUCUCGAGGCUCAACUUCGAGCUGUCGGUGGAAACUAUCUGGCUAGAGUCCGGAAGAGGAGAAUGGAAUUCCUGGUGUAGCGGUGAAAUGCGCAGAUAUCAGGAAGAACACCCGUGGCGAAGGCGGUUCUCUGGGACGGUACUGACGCUGAGACGCGAAAGCCAGGGGAGCGAACGGG